AUUUCUCUGUGGAAUAUAAAAACAUGUUACUCAACAUGGGUCCUCUGGGAAACAUUAUCCUUACUCUGUGUGUGUGUGUGUGUAGUGGUGGGGAAGGGGAGAAUUCCGGGGUAUGUACUGAUUGGCUCAGCACUCUGUAUGGGUGUGGUCAGUCAAACCCUAAGCUACACCUCCAGGGUCAGAGUUCACAAAGAGAGGAGCCUCACACUGUCUUGCAUGAACACAACACAUGCAGGUCCUGAACAGCAGUCUUCAUGCCAACCAGAAAGAUGUUGGUUACUAUGCAACGAGAUGGUAGCCUGCGGAUCCACAUUGCCUCUCCUCACCACAGCAGCCUGUACUACUGCCUCCUACUGACCGGAGGACAAACUACACUCAUCCAACCAGCUUUUCCCGUGUGCAUCAAGAAUGGGUCCACCUCCCAAAGGGCAUCCAGCCAACUUGACACAACUGUGGGAAACAUUGGAGUCAACAUGAGCCAGCAAUCCCUUUGGAAUGCUUUCAACACCUUGUAGAGUCCAUGCCCGACAACAAAUUGAGACUGUUCUGAGGGCAAAGGGGGCUGCAACUCAAUAUUAGGACAGUUUUCUUAAUGCUUUCUACACUGUGUAUAUUUCCAUACUGAGGCUGGAGUAAUACUGUGAAAAUUCAGAUCAUGUACUUUUAGUGCAAGAACUGUUCGAAAAGACCACCUGUUUUGGUGGGAUGGAGUUUUGGCCUGUCUGGUGACAUCACCAGGCAGUAAAUUUGUUAAUAGACCAAUAAGAAAGAGUUCCAAACCUUUCUGCCAAUAACAUAGUUCUCUAGUUCCCCACUCAGACCACUUCUGUUUCUUUUUGAGUAUUUUAAUUUAAAACAAUCAUAUUAAGGUACUUAAUUGUUAACAAUAAAAUAUUUGAUAUGGAUAUAAAAACGUCUGUGUUGGAUCUUUAACGAAGGCCAUGUUGGACUUGUUGAUCCACCAGACCCAAUGAGCAUCA